AGCGAACGCUGGCGGUAUGCCUAACACAUGCAAGUCGCACGGGGGGGCUUCGGCCUCCCAGUGGCGGACGGGCGAGGAACGCGUAGGGACCUGUCGAGGGGUGGGGGAUAACCGCGGGAAACUGCGGCUAAUACCGCAUGACGCCGCGGCGUGACAGCCGGGGCCAAAGGCGAAAGCCGCCCGCCGAGGGGCCUGCGUCCGAUUAGCUGGUUGGCGGGGUAGCGGCCCACCAAGGCGUCGAUCGGUAGCUGGUCUGAGAGGGUGAUCAGCCACACCGGGACUGAGACACGGCCCGGACUCCUACGGGAGGCAGCAGUGGGGAAUAUUGGACAAUGGGCGCAAGCCUGAUCCAGCAAUGCCGCGUGGGUGAAGAAGGUCUUCGGAUUGUAAAGCCCUUUCGGCGGGGACGAUGGUGACGGUACCCGCAGAAGAAGCCCCGGCUAACUUCGUG
rnacentral:rRNA from 1 species